rnacentral:misc_RNA from 1 species
AAAGAAUUGUGUGAGGGAUAUCCAAGCUAACAGAGACAGAAUUGCUAAACUGUUGCACGAGUCGCUCAUGCUCGUCACAUGCUUGAACCCAAAAAUUGGUUAUGAUAAUGCUGCUGCAGUUGCCAAGAAAGCGCACAAGGAGGGAACCAGUUUGAAGGAAGCUGCUCUCAAUCUAGCAGUCCUCACCAGUGAAGAGUUUGAUCAACUCGUAGUCCCUGAGAAAAUGAUUGGUCCAACUGACUGAUCUGAUUCAUUAGUUCUUCGAAAUGAGUAAGAGGACCAUGGCUAGCUUCUUCUGUCCAUCAAAUUCGACGAGGGAAAUAAACAUUUGACACAAUUCUUGAGGUUUUCUCAUUCCUAUUAAUUUAACAGUGUUUUUUGACUGUGAGAAUGCCUCCAUUUUUUGUAAUGAGUCCCUGAGCAAUAUCCAAGUAAAUAAUGAACUGAAUUAUUUUUUAUGAGUUGAGCCGUGAAUA